GGAGGGGUGGCCGAGUGGUCAAGAGGCGCUCCCCUGCUAAGGGAGUAGAGGUCAAAAGCUUCUGGUGGGUUCGAAUCCCAUCCCUCUCCGCCA
rnacentral:tRNA from 1 species